GUAGGGAAUAUUGGUCAAUGGACGAAAGUCUGAACCAGCCAUUCCGCGUGCAGGAAGAAGAUUCUAUGGAUUGUAAACUGCUUUUAGCAGAGAAGAAACGCCUUCAUUGAUGAGGGUUUGACGGUAUCUGCGGAAUAAGCACCGGCUAACUCCGUGCCAGCAGCCGCGGUAAUACGGGGGGUGCAAGCGUUAUCCGGAAUCACUGGGUUUAAAGGGUGCGUAGGCGGGAAAUUAAGUUAGUGGUGAAAGUCUGUUGCUUAACGAUAGAAUUGCCGUUGAUACUGAUUUUCUUGAAUUGGGUUGAGGUUAGCGGAAUGUGACAUGUAGCGGUGAAAUGCAUAGAUAUGUCAUGGAACACCAAUUGCGAAGGCAGCUAGCUGGGCCUUGAUUGACGCUGAGGCACGAAAGCGUGGGUAGCGAACAGGAUUAGAAACCCGGGUAGUCC
rnacentral:rRNA from 1 species